GUCAACUACCCCCGUCUAAAGACGGAGGCUUGAAGCCUCGGAGUUGACCAGCCUAAGUUCGAAGACAGCCUCACGGCAAAUUUGAAGAACUACGUUAUUCUGGUCAUGACACCUUGGAAUGCUGGAGCCAGUUCCAAGCCCUGUCGUUCAACAUUAAACAGGUAUACGGGGUUGAAACCAGUGUGUUGAAUGUAAAAAGCCAGAAUAACAUUGGCGAGGCUCACUUUAA
ncrna:Petrotoga mobilis SJ95 HNH endonuclease-associated RNA and ORF (HEARO) RNA